rnacentral:rRNA from 1 species
UUGAAGAGUUUGAUCAUGGCUCAGAUUGAACGCUGGCGGCAGGCCUAACACAUGCAAGUCGAACGGUAACAGGAAGCAGCUUGCUGCUUUGCUGACGAGUGGCGGACGGGUGAGUAAUGUCUGGGAAACUGCCUGAUGGAGGGGGAUAACUACUGGAAACGGUGGCUAAUACCGCAUAACGUCGCAAGACCAAAGAGGGGGACCUUCGGGCCUCUUGCCAUCAGAUGUGCCCAGAUGGGAUUAGCUGGUUGGUGAGGUAACGGCUCACCAAGGCGACGAUCCCUAGCUGGUCUGAGAGGAUGACCAGCCACACUGGAACUGAGACACGGUCCAGACUCCUACGGGAGGCAGCAGUGGGGAAUAUUGCACAAUGGGCGCAAGCCUGAUGCAGCCAUGCCGCGUGUAUGAAGAAGGCCUUCGGGUUGUAAAGUACUUUCAGCGGGGAGGAAGGUGUUGUGGUUAAUAACCGCAGCAAUUGACGUUACCCGCAGAAGAAGCACCGGCUAACUCCGUGCCAGCAGCCGCGGUAAUACGGAGGGUGCAAGCGUUAAUCGGAAUUACUGGGCGUAAAGCGCACGCAGGCGGUCUGUCAAGUCGGAUGUGAAAUCCCCGGGCUCAACCUGGGAACUGCAUUCGAAACUGGCAGGCUUGAGUCUUGUAGAGGGGGGUAGAAUUCCAGGUGUAGCGGUGAAAUGCGUAGAGAUCUGGAGGAAUACCGGUGGCGAAGGCGGCCCCCUGGACAAAGACUGACGCUCAGGUGCGAAAGCGUGGGGAGCAAACAGGAUUAGAUACCCUGGUAGUCCACGCCGUAAACGAUGUCUACUUGGAGGUUGUGCCCUUGAGGCGUGGCUUCCGGAGCUAACGCGUUAAGUAGACCGCCUGGGGAGUACGGCCGCAAGGUUAAAACUCAAAUGAAUUGACGGGGGCCCGCACAAGCGGUGGAGCAUGUGGUUUAAUUCGAUGCAACGCGAAGAACCUUACCUGGUCUUGACAUCCACAGAACUUUCCAGAGAUGGACUUGUGCCUUCGGGAACUGUGAGACAGGUGCUGCAUGGCUGUCGUCAGCUCGUGUUGUGAAAUGUUGGGUUAAGUCCCGCAACGAGCGCAACCCUUAUCCUUUGUUGCCAGCGGUUAGGCCGGGAACUCAAAGGAGACUGCCAGUGAUAAACUGGAGGAAGGUGGGGAUGACGUCAAGUCAUCAUGGCCCUUACGACCAGGGCUACACACGUGCUACAAUGGCGCAUACAAAGAGAAGCGACCUCGCGAGAGCAAGCGGACCUCAUAAAGUGCGUCGUAGUCCGGAUUGGAGUCUGCAACUCGACUCCAUGAAGUCGGAAUCGCUAGUAAUCGUGGAUCAGAAUGCCACGGUGAAUACGUUCCCGGGCCUUGUACACACCGCCCGUCACACCAUGGGAGUGGGUUGCAAAAGAAGUAGGUAGCUUAACCUUCGGGAGGGCGCUUACCACUUUGUGAUUCAUGACUGGGGUGAAGUCGUAACAAGGUAACCGUAGGGGAACCUGCGGUUGGAUCACCUCCUU